AUGGACGAGGUGCUUGCUGGGGUUGGUGUGUUUUUGCUGCUAGGUGUUACCUUUGUCUCCCUGAUGGGAAAACGCUCUGCGCUGUCUCCAAAUACUGCCCCAGAGCGAUGAAGAAGUGAUGAAGAACACUGGGGAUUCGAGUGUAUACCUGUGUAAAUAUGCAAGCGUAAAAUAUUGCUGGUGUGGCUGUCAGUUAUUGUUACCUGUUUGUCGAAGGAACCACACUGGAUUCAAACAAUAGUCUGGAUGCAAAUAAGAGAAAGGAUAUGUGUCCUGGAUUGGUAAAUGGAGCCUCUGUGUUUGCUGUGACCUCUUCUUCCUCAGCUGAUUGUGGAUCAUAAUGAUUGCUGCCAUUUGGACAGGAAUAAUUAAUGAGAUAAAUGUAGGUUAGUGGCUUGUGAGCAGCCAAGGGCAAGGCUGCCUGUACGUUUCAACUCAGCCUAAACCAUGGGGCACUUCCUUCCUGAGUCAAUAGUGAUCCUGUAAUGCUAACAAAGGACCCCCAUUGAUCAUUGCCCUCUGAUAAUUGCUGCCAGUGUGAGCCUGCCUCUCACAGCUUGUUGACAUCUCUGGACAAUUUAACUAAACCCCUUUAAAAGGUCUCUGCAAAAGAAGCAGGGUGAGGUCUGUAAUAGUGCAGGUCAGGAAUGUAACGACAAAUAAGAGUCUUCCCUAAAAAUACCAGGGUGGGGUAAACAUGGUGUUCCAAGCCAAGCCACUUUUAUGGUGUAAUAUGAAGUCUGUACGUCUAGUUAUGGCACUGUUUUACUUCUGAUUUACCUUACUGGGAGACCUGUCCAGAAAGUGGUGUUUCUGUCUCAUGGGAAUUUGCAUGUGUAUGUGCAGAAUAUCAGCAUUGGCCUGAAUUAGACUCAAACCAACAUUUUUUAGGAGAAAUUACACCCUUUCCCAGUCUGGGAGUUCCUCGUAUUCAGCAGUGGCUUUGUCCAGAGGUGUUCUUAGGAGCUUCAGUGUGACUUUUCUGUCAGGUUUCUGAGAACUGGUGUGAGUGUAGGGUACAUAUUUUUGCACUGACAUGCUUUUCCAUGGGUUAUCCUCAAAUGUUCUGCACCUUGUAGACAGUCCUUUAGUGCAAAUCUGGAGAUAAAGGCCGUAUAUUCCAGGAACAUCCUGAGGAAUCAAGGCAGGAGCCACCAGAACCUUGGCUUGUACAAACAUUAUUGCAAACUGAGAUGCUUUGGAUGAAACAAGUGAGUACCAAGAAAUUUCCCACUGGCUCU
rnacentral:lncRNA from 1 species